rnacentral:misc_RNA from 1 species
AAAUGCGAUAAGUAAUGUGAAUUGCUGAAUUCAGUGAAUCAUCGAAUCUUUGAACGCACCUUGCGCUCCUUGGUAUUCCUUGGAGCAUGCCUGUUUGAGUAUCAUGAAAUCUUCAAAGUAAAUCUUUUGUUAACUCAAUUGGUUUCUACUUUGGUAUUGGAGGUCUUUGCAGCUUCACACCUGCUCCUCUUUGUUCAUUAGCUGGAUCUCAGUGUUAUGCUUGGUUCCACUCGGCGUGAUAAGUUAUCUAUCGCUGAGGACACUGUAAAAGGUGGCCAAGGUAAAUGCAGAUGAACCGCUUCUAAUAGUCCAUUGACUUGGACAAUACUUUUAUGAUCUGAUCUCAAAUCAGGUAGGACUACCCGCUGAACUUAAGC